CCUACGGGAGGCAGCAGUGAGGAAUAUUGGUCAAUGGGCGCGAGCCUGAACCAGCCAAGUAGCGUGAGGGACGACUGCCCUAUGGGUUGUAAACCUCUUUUAUAAGGGAAGAAUGAGUGGUACGUGUGCCAUGUUGCCUGUACCUUAUGAAUAAGCAUCGGCUAACUCCGUGCCAGCAGCCGCGGUAAUACGGAGGAUUCGAGCGUUAUCCGGAUUUAUUGGGGUUAAAGGGUGCGCAGGUGGGUUGUUAAGUCAGCUGUGAAAGUUCGGGGCUCAACCGUGUUAUUGCAAUUGAUACUGGAAGUCUUGAGUGCGGUAGAGGUAUGCGGAAUGCGUGGUGUAGCGGUGAAAUGCAUAGAUAUCACGCAGAACUCCGAUUGCGAAGGCAGCUUACUGGACUGCCACUGACGUUGAUGCUCGAAAGUGUGGGUAUCGAACAGGAUUAGAUACCCUAGUAGUC
rnacentral:rRNA from 1 species